AACAUGUCGGCCUUAGCGCGCUCGUCGCAUGCGUAACCAAGGCUCAAACAAGAGCCAUUUUCGGUAUCAGCAUGAGUCUUGGAGAUAAAAUUACAGAAAAACUGUGUUUGGACAUGAUCUGGGAGUAUUAAGAAGGAAUGUUAUUAGUUUUGUGGCAAACCUCCCUGAACUGGUUGCAUGUCCUUUACAAGUUGUCUGCCAUGCCAUGUGUGAGCAUGUGGAAAAUGCUGGUGUCCACAGUGGAGAUGCCACACACAUGCUGCUAACACAGACCAUCACAGAGGAAGCCUUGAAUCUGGAGGAAGAUACCCAGUGAAUACGGAUACGUGGGAUGGCGAUGUACUGGCCAGUGAGGGUGGAGAAACUUUGGCACCGGACCAGGCGCGGCACCUGACUGUCCACACUGCUUCCAAGCACCUUGCAUAACAGCAGGAGGUUGGGACAUCGAGUUCAUCGGGAAGGGACAGGCGGCUUGUCCUCAAAGUCGAGCAAUUCGGAAUAGCAUAUAUACAAGAUACUGGAAAAUGCUAGAUUUUGUUGGACUCUGGAGGGACAGGAGAUACCUGGAUAGAAAAACCGCUUUGGCAGAAGGUGAAUGGGUGCUGUGCCACAGGCGUGAAGUGAUGCCCACUUGCGUCAUGCAAAAAGUACGAACACUGUACCCAAACCCAGAUGCAGUGCCGUAUGUCGGUCACCAAUGGGAAUGAAAAAAAAAACAAAACAAAAACAAAAACAAACAAACUAAACGAGAGGAAUUAAAACUAAGUUUAAAAAUU